UCCCGUCCAUGGAGCCCGAGCUGUUCGCCUGGGGUGCAAACAGCUAUGGGCAACUUGGUCUUGGUCAUAAAGAGGAUGUGCUGGUUCCUCAGGCCCUGACAGAUAUUUCCUGUAAAUGUCAAGACGUUGCAAGCAUUUCUGGAGGAGGGGGACAUUCUGCAGUUACCACUGGUACAGGACAACUCUUUGUAUGUGGCCAUAACAAAGAUGGGCAGUUGGGAUUGAAUCACACAGAGGAUGUGCUGCAUUUUACUUUGUGCACUGCCCUGUCUGGAUUUUGUGUGAAACAAGUUGCAUGUGGCUGGGAUUUUACAAUCAUAUUAGUAGGAUCUGGUCUAGUGCUGUCCUGUGGGUCAAACUCUUUUGGACAACUGGGACUUCCUCAAAUUUCAGGCCUGUGCUUGAUUCCACGAAAGAUUGAGUCUCUCAAAGAGAAGGUAGUGAAUGUUGCUGCAGGACUGAGACAUGCCCUUGCUGCUACAGACAGUGGUUCUGUGCUGCAGUGGGGAACUGGGAUGGCAUCUCGGGCAAAGCGUGCAAGUCAAGGAAAAGCCCUCCCUCUGUUCUUGACAGCAAAGGAGCCCUGUGAAGUGGCAGGUCUGGAUGAUGUAAAGGUGAAGGCAGUUGCUGCAGGCUCCUAUCAUUCGGUGUCCCUCACAGAUGAAGGACACUUGUAUGUCUGGGGCAGCAAUAAACAUGGGCAGCUGGUGAGCAGAGACAUCUUUCUUGCUGAGCCCAAGAAGAUUGACACUCACUGUUUUUCACAUGAAAAGAUUGGAGCAGUUUGGAGUGGCUGGACCCACCUGGUGGCACAGACAGAAGCUGGCAGGGUGUUCACGUGGGGCAGAGUGGACUAUGGGCAGCUUGGAAGGCACGCGGUGGUUCCUGGUGGGCAGCAGAGCACAGCAUCUGAACAGUGCUUGGAGCUGUUGUGUAACACCCCUGUUUCAGUUCCUUGCCUAAAUGGAGCAUCUCAGACACUUCAAACCUGCCAUUACUGGAUUGAGAUGUAUGAAGACUUGGAGUGGAGACGAGCACAUUGCCAGUCAUAACAAGGCAAACUUCCUGAUCCUGAGGGAGCAGAAGGAAUGCACCAGUGGAUUUACAUGACUACAAAAUGAUUUUGUCAGCUGAGUGUGUGUAAUCCCAACUGCAUCUUCCCAUCUAGAAGGUUCAGAGUACUGUUUGUACUGCUGCUCUUGUCUCAUUGCCAUGCUAAAAUCAGAAAGCAUUGUGUACCUGUCUUCUGCUCUGAGUCAUGUCCCAGUGGGCAGGGCUCUCAAACAAUCUUUGCAGUUUGUUCAGCAGGGAGAAGAGAAAGUGUCAAGGGUACAGAGUAGCAGCCUGCCAGUACCUACAAGGAGGUUAAUCAAGAAGAUGAACUUGGAGAAACAAAAGACACAAAUAGAAGCACGAGGUUCGGACUUAAUGUGAGGAAAACCUUUUCCACCACCAGGACGAUCAAGCAGAGGAGCAGGCUGCCUGGGAAGGUUGUACCAUGUGAGCCUUAUGGAAUGAAGAAGAUAUCAUGGCUGAUUUUCUUGGGAGCGGGAGGUUGGACUGUACCUCCAGAGGUCCCUGCAACCCUGGAUAAUCCUGUGAUCCUAACGUCUUGGUUUUGUCCUCAAAACUCUUUCCACACAUGCUUGAGACUGAGAAUUAUGAAGCUUCAGUCCAGUGCUGUAAAAAUAAGCUGUCAGAGGGAUGAGUUUUCAGGGUAGUUGUUAAAAUGUAAUAGGCAAGACUCAAGUUCAGUUUGCAGGAGCGAUGCUUCUUACUAGGGGCAGCCAGUGAGAAAGAAGGAAAUUGAAGAAAUCAUGCUGUUUUUUUCCUGUCAGCUAUAAUACACAUUUUGGGUGCAGCAAAAUGUAUAGAAGUGUUAUGCAAGCAGUUCAGAGCUCUCAAUGUGCCCCUCUGCAUAAAAUAAGGUGCUUGUAUUACUCUGAUAGGGUAGAAGCUGGCAUCUUCUUUGUCAAGCACUGACUUGGGAAGAGAAAGACUGUAACUGAAAUAGCAGCUUGGAAAAACUGCUUCAUGGUUCAGUAGUUCUUUGUUGUUAUUUUGUUUUAGCACAGAAACACUAAAAUUAGCUGUCCUCUCCUUUUUGUUCUUAUUUUCCUUGUACUCCAAAGUUUGUGAAGUAGAAAAUGAGUUGAGAAGCUACUCUGCAGUUUAACUAUCCACGCACUGAAAAUCAGAGCCCUUGAUCUGGAGGCUUAAAAUGAUAAUUUUGAUUUUCAGGGUUUGUUCUGCAGUUUCUCUGGUUAUGUGCUGUCUUUUAGCAUAACUUGCUCUUUGGUCAUAUAAAAUUAAGUUGAAUUGGUUUACACUGACAGUUUUGAUCUAAAUUUAUAAGACAAAGUCUAAUUCUGUGUUCUUCUCCCUGUCCUCUGUUUUCUUUUGAGUAGCAAUAGAUGCACAGGCUGUGGACAGGCUAUUGAAAUUAGUUCAUUAAAAACAGGCUCUGCUCUUCAGAAAAUUAAAAAACCUGAUGUCUGCAAUGUUGUGUUCUUCUGCAAGGGUAAA